AAUGCCUAGGAAUCUGCCUGGUAGUGGGGGAUAACGUUCGGAAACGGACGCUAAUACCGCAUACGUCCUACGGGAGGAAGCAGGGGACCUUCGGGCCUUGCGCUAUCAGAUGAGCCUAGGUCGGAUUAGCUAGUUGGUGAGGUAAUGGCUCACCAAGGCGACGAUCCGUAACUGGUCUGAGAGGAUGAUCAGUCACACUGGAACUGAGACACGGUCCAGACUCCUACGGGAGGCAGCAGUGGGGAAUAUUGGACAAUGGGCGAAAGCCUGAUCCAGCCAUGCCGCGUGUGUGAAGAAGGUCUUCGGAUUGUAAAGCACUUUAAGUUGGGAGGAAGGGUUGUAGAUUAAUACUCUGCAAUUUUGACGUUACCGACAGAAUAAGCACCGGCUAACUCUGUGCCAGCAGCCGCGGUAAUACAGAGGGUGCAAGCGUUAAUCGGAAUUACUGGGCGUAAAGCGCGCGUAGGUGGUUUGUUAAGUUGGAUGUGAAAUCCCCGGGCUCAACCUGGGAACUGCAUUCAAAACUGACUGACUAGAGUAUGGUAGAGGGUGGUGGAAUUUCCUGUGUAGCGGUGAAAUGCGUAGAUAUAGGAAGG
rnacentral:rRNA from 1 species